rnacentral:tRNA from 1 species
GGAAAAGCAAAUAGACUGGUGACUAAACCCGAUUGGAAAUCGGUUGAGUGGUAGCAAUACCGCCUUAUGGGUUCAACUCCCAUCUUUUCCGCCA